rnacentral:lncRNA from 1 species
UCUCCACAAAAUCUUUCAAAUUGCAGCACUCAUUAGUUUCGUGACCCGUAGCUUGAUGAUAGCCACAAUACUUCCGAGUGUUGCCUUGUCCUGGCUUGAAGUUAUCACGAGGCGGUUCGAAGAACGGCUGGCCCCUGAUCUGAUCUAGAAUUACUGACCUCUCCGUGUUCAGUUUGGUGUACACCUUAUUCACCUUCUGGGCGGGUGGGCGGUUACCUCCUUGUCGUCAUGUAUUAUUGAACUUCUUGGAACUGCCUUCUUGUCGAUCGUUAUACCCUCCACCUUUCUUCUGAUCGCAAUCGGCUUUAGGAGUAUUUGCUUCCUUUAUUCGAUCCGAAGAAAGUCGUUUCAGGCUAUUCAUAGCCUCCUCCACCACGAUAUAACCUUCCGCCUUAUCAAAGGCCUCUGCCAAACUCUUCGGAUGGUGAAACAUCAGCUUCUUCACCAACUUUUCGGACUUUACUAGGUCUAACCCAUUCUGAAAUAACCCCACAGCUUGGAGAUCAUUCAAAUCUGAUACCUGACCAACGGCUUCCCUGAACCU